rnacentral:rRNA from 1 species
AGCGAACGCUGGCGGCAGGCUUAACACAUGCAAGUCGAACGCCCGGGCAACCGGGAGUGGCAGACGGGUGAGUAACACGUGGGAACGUACCCUUUGGUUCGGAAUAACUCAGGGAAACUUGAGCUAAUACCGGAUAAGCCCUUUUGGGGAAAGAUUUAUCGCCGAAGGAUCGGCCCGCGUCCGAUUAGCUAGUUGGUGAGGUAACGGCUCACCAAGGCGACGAUCGGUAGCUGGUCUGAGAGGAUGAUCAGCCACACUGGGACUGAGACACGGCCCAGACUCCUACGGGAGGCAGCAGUGGGGAAUAUUGGACAAUGGGGGCAACCCUGAUCCAGCCAUGCCGCGUGAGUGAUGAAGGCCCUAGGGUUGUAAAGCUCUUUCGGCGGGGACGAUAAUGACGGUACCCGCAGAAGAAGCCCCGGCUAACUUCGUGCCAGCAGCCGCCGCGG